UUUCUAGGUGCUCUACGUUUUAUUGGAACCACGCUUACACAUCCCGAACUAAGCAGUGAAACGGUAAAAAAGGUAACGGACUUAUCGGGGGACUGAUAGGAAGACUUACCUUAGUGCCUGGAAA
rnacentral:rRNA from 1 species